rnacentral:pre_miRNA from 1 species
AGCCCUGCUCUGGGGAGGUGCCAUUCUGAGGGCCAAGAGUUUGAUUAUGCGUCACUCUGGCUGCUAUGGCCCCCUCCCAGGGUGUGGGC